ensembl:lncRNA
UGUAUAUACUGUUCUAAUAAUAUGAUAAUUUUUAUGAAUUGGCAAAUUAUAUUUGUCCCUAAUAUAUAAAUUGCCCCCUACUUCUACCUCUGUAUGUUUAACAUGUUAUUAGAGUGGAAAGAUAUGUGGUGACACAUUCCAGAAGGCAUUCUUUGAGUGGACUUUACGGCACGGCUUGAAAUAGACAAGUUUUGUGUAAGCGAUCUCCUCCAAUGUCAUGCCUGGAUAGGAUGGGAAUCACAAGCAAUAAAGCCUCAAGCGAAAAGAACAUGUGAAAGACAAGCCUGACCUCUACCAUCUCUGGGCCCCAAGUAACUGAGCCCCAGCUGAGGGAAGAAGUGCAACUGCCAACACCAGAGUCCAAAUGGAUAUAUUCUAAAAACAAGUAUACCACAUAAGCAUAUUAUGCAGAUAAGACAUCUUAAUUAUCUAUGUUACCCAACUAAUUCUGAUUCAUCCGCCUCAUGACAUAUUCCAGUUGGUGUACAUUUCAAAAGAUUAAUUGUCAACUAAAAAUUAAUUUUCCAUGAAGAACAUUUGUGGGACAGUGAUUUGUCAUUUUGCUUUUUCCGAAUCCCCCCGAGACACAUACACAGAGAGGUUGGAGCAACACGAUCAGUUGACUGGGAUUUGAGCCAGCAACCCACCACUCUAGGCUACUUAACACAUCUUGGCGGUUUGAUGUAUUCAUUUGUGAUGUAAUCUUGCAGUCUGACUCUCUAUUUAGUGUUGAGAAGGGCUUCUAUGAUGGUGUCUUCCAAGGAAAAGUCGAUGAUGUGAGCCAUCGUCAAACAUGUCCAUACAAAGACCAAUCAUUUAUCCAUUCUCACAGUUUCUAUAACAGCUUAAUGUCACCCAGUUUAGAACUUGUUUCUUUUAAGUUAACCUCCGAACAUCACCAUGAUUUUCAUGUUGUAGACGCCAGGCAAAGGAGUGUGUGUCACGUCAGAGUGGACAGCGGCCAAAGAGACGUCAGGAAAUUAAUCUGCCAAAGUAGAGGAGGGCCUUGUGAUAGCAUUUUGCCGACACGACGUGCUCCACAAGGCCCUCAACAUGGACAGAGGCGAGAUAUACUGUAUGCAUCAGCAAUGUACUUGCAGAAAGAGCUGUCUUCUGCUGGAACUGUGGGCUUUUGAACUGCUGGAACUGUGGGCUUGUUGCAUGCAAAUACUAGCCAUAUUUGCAGAAAGUUGUCCAGAGUUGGAAGAGCUUCUAAAAAUACACCCUCUCCUUUCCGUUAUGCGCUUGCCUAUUUAAAUAAAGGUUAAAUAAAAUACUAAAUAAACACAACCAGAGAGGAAGUCGAACAGGUGAACAGUUUUAUGUCCAUAGUUGCUGUCAUGACAUAGUGAAAUGUCCAAGGCUGUAAGUGUAUUAUAAUAACAUAAGUAAUGCUGAAGAAGGUUUAGGAUUGAAACAUAAUUCCCUUAAAAAUGUUGAACUACUAAAUGGUCCUUUAUAUUUCAGCUCCAGCACACUUCAAUUAAUAUGAUAAACCUAAUUGCCACACUCCUGGACUGUCACCUUGCCAUGUUGGAGAGGCUUGCUUACUCCAAUGACCCUGAGCGCUAAUCUGGAGGCGGGUAAUACUUACUCCCUGCAAACCUUCUUCAGCAUUAGUUAGAUAUGCAAGGUGUCAACUCUGCCUCGUCAGAAGGUAUAAAUAUAUGCUUGUGGGUAGAAUAAACUUGGUUUUAGGUUUUUCUGGUUGUACGUUUUAGGUUCAGAACCUAAAAUACCUUCAGGCCACUGCUGGACAGCAUCAACUUCCUGUUUUUCCAGUCCAUUGCCAGUAGUGUGAUGAUGUCUGUCUGUACUGUUUGGAAAACAUCUGCAGUCAGCUAUUCUAAUAAUUUACUACUGUGUGCCUAACCACUCAACGUACAGAUUGCUAUUACAGGAACAUUACGUAACAUCAAAUACAACUGUAUUUUCUUGGACUAUUAUCAAUGUCCAUGUUUGGGAUUUUUGUGUAAUUGUGAGUUACAAAAGAGUCCUUGGUCUCAGUGGGACUGCUAAAAUAAAUACAUGUUUUAAUAAAUACACUACCAUUCAAAAGUUUGGCGUCACUUCAAAAUUAAUUUUGAACUCGUUUCAUGUAUGUUUUCAUGGAAAAUUAGUUCAAAAGUAAUAGGAAACAUAUUCAAGACUUUUAUAGUUAUAAUUAAUGAUUUUUAAUUGGAUUGGAAUUGAUGGGCA